rnacentral:rRNA from 1 species
CAGUAGCCACGGUAAUACGAAGGGUGCAAGCGUUACUCGGAAUUACUGGGCGUAAAGCGUGCGUAGGUGGUGGUUUAAGUCCGUUGUGAAAGCCCUGGGCUCAACCUGGGAAUUGCAGUGGAUACUGGAUCACUAGAGUGUGGUAGAGGAUAGUGGAAUUUCCGGUGUAGCAGUGAAAUGCGUAGAGGUCGGAAGGAACAUCUGUGGCGAAGGCGACUAUCUGGGCCAACACUGACACUGAGGCACGAAAGCGUGGGGAGCAAACAGGAUUAGAUACCCCGGUAGUCCCUGUCUCUUAUAC